AUUUUUUUUAUACCUUAAACAUUUCACUUAUUUACUUUAAAAAUAGUAAAAUUUCAGCCACUUAUAAAAAAUAACGGUGAAAUAAAUCAUAAAAGGACUAACAUAAUUUUAUUUUCUUAUUUAACUUUUUGUGCUUAUUUACACAUUCACAAGUCACUACGUAAUAUUGUGCACUUUUUUCUGGUACCUCUCGACACAUGUACAAAUCCCUUUUUCAGGAAUUUUUUCUGUUAGAACGCAGCUUUGAACCAAAGGAAGGAUACACACAAGACCUCGACAAUCAUGAUUCCUUCGGCAGACAACCUCAGCUAAUAAAGAAUUAAGGAACAUUAUCAAAAUGGGGUGAAACAAUUUUGAAUAAGAAAAUAUAAGGCUAAAUUAUUAGGUAUCUUGGUUUUUGUUGUAUACCGGGUUUUUUUUGACAAAAUUCGUUUAAAAUUUAAGUUUCUUUUAAUAAAAAUUAUGGUUGAAUAGGUUGUUAAUGCUUAAUUACAAAUAUCUCGAAUUUUAGUUUUAGUUUAUAUAAAAUAUUUUAGCAAGUUUUGAUCUCCUAUAUAUUCUUUUUCAUAAUUUUUUAUUUAUAUUUUUAAGUCAACUCAUGUAUGCUUUAAUUUGAAUGUGUUUCAAAAAAAAUCUUUGAAUGAGUUUUUGUUUUGAUGUUUAUAAUAAUAUAAAAAUUUAGAAGUUUUUAAUAUAAGAUGAAUUAAAUAUGAUUGGAGGGAAAAGAAAGUGAAUUAUAUUCUUAAUUCUUUUCAAAGUUUAUCACAUGAAUAUUAAAUAUAAAUUUAACUUAAUUAUAUAAGAUGAAUUAUAUUAACCAUGUUUAUUCUUUUAUGAAUCUUGAAACAAAAAUUAUAGUGUAAAAAAAAAUCCAUGCUUUGUUAACAUAAAUACAAUAACUCAUUAAAAAAUAUGAAAGUAUUGAUCGGGAAAUUAAAUUUUGUAAGAGAUGUUUAUAUAAUGUACUAAACAUGUAUGUAGAGAAAAAAUAAUUCAGGUAUAUAGAUGAGUUUACUUAAAAGGAGGGAAGAAAAAUUGCACCGAAAAUAUUUGAGGAUCAAAACUUGCUGAAAUUUUUAAUAUGGACUAAAAAUGAAAUUUGAGAUAUUUAUAAAGACCAAAAAUAUAUAUGGCCCCAUAAAAUAAUAUGAAAAUAUAAUAUGAUAUUGAAUUUUGUAUAAAAAUACAAGUACCGAACUAAACUGAGAUACCAGAGUUCCCUGAAUUUAAAUGCGUUGAUAAAAAUUACUUACCGCUAUUUGUUGUAGAAAUAAAUAUGAAAAAAAAAAUAAUCAUAGCAUAAAUAAACAUAUAAACUUUAACCAUAUUUUUUUUUCAUGAAUCUAGAAAUAGGAAUCAUAUGAUCGCUUUAUAAUGUGAAAAAUUCCAUAUUUUAUUUACGUG
rnacentral:lncRNA from 1 species